CUACGGUGAAUACGUUCCCGGGUCUUGUACACACCGCCCGUCACACCACGAAAGUUGGGGAUGCCCAAAGUGUCCUCUUGUAGGCCCUAAGGUAAACUCAGCGAUUGGGGUG
rnacentral:rRNA from 1 species